GUAGCAAAUUAAGAUGCCUUCGGGGCCAGACAAAUAAUGUAAAUGAGUCAACGGGCUGGAUGUCAGACAAUAGGAAGAGAUGAAAACAGGCAGAGGUGGACACCCAAAGGCAUUCAAACUCAGAAAGUUAAAGUUUCUUCUUCAAAAAGUUAAAGAGUUACCAUAUGACCCAGCAAUGCCACUCCUAGCCACCAGGAUCUGGAUACCUCUGAUGGAGUGCAAUUACAUGGCUUGAAAGCAGCAUACAUCUGGGUCCCUCCUCAGUGCGGCAGAGGCAACGCUCAAGGGUCCUUACUCUCAUGGGCUAAAGGUCCUGUGGGCUUCAACAAGACUGGCUUCCACCUCUGUGUGAGAGUAGCCCACACCAAGAAAUGUCAAUUACAAUCUGUUCCCCUGCACUGGACCAAGGAUCCAACCAACUGGCCAGCAACCUGCCACAGCUGACAGAUGCAGUGAAAUUAACCUUUAGGAGUUCCCGCAUGCACACAAAGCUUCAAGGUGACUACUACAAUGAAACUCCUGGGGUGAUGAAAAUGAACACCACCACCAUCUUGGACCUCCUGAGCAGGCUCAAGGACGAAAGCCCUAACUGAGCACAUGCCCAGGAAGAACAGAAUGGACCACCUCCAAAGGUGCAGACUGAUGACACUGGCCUGCACCCCGUAACCCCUUGCCCUGUAAAGGACCCUGAAGAGCUCCCCUCGAGGAGCUAGCUUCUCUUUAGCUGCCCCACUUAUGCAUAAGUCGACCUCUUUUAAUAAUGCAUUGCUUGGGCCGGCCCAGUGGCACACUGCUAUAGUGUGCCGCUUGGGAAGCGCGG